UUCAAAUACCAAAAUAACUUGAUUUCUGGCAAAAGAGGUUCGAAAGUGUUAUUUAAAACCCAUCUUGUAUAUCUGGACUCAGACAAUGUCUGUGCUGUCGUCCGGGUUUCACCCAUGUUUCCCAGUAAAAUGAAGCCUUGGUGUGAGCUACGAAUUCGGAACUCAUUCCUUGUAAGCUAUGGCCGCCCUUCAAUCACUUGUCAACACUAUUUCAACCUCGCAGCAAAGCAAGGCAGUCUUCUCUACCAUCCUGCCUGCCAGAAAAUUAUUUAUAAAGCUCAUCCCACGCAGCAGAAAAACAUCCCAGUGCAUAAGCCAAACCAUUCAUACAAGAACACGAGUGUGUGAAAUUGUGAAGAUAAAGCGCAACUAUUUUGUGCAUAAAAUAGAUUUCUUCAUUCCGGCAGCACAACGUUGUUAUAAGCCACUGGGAAUAAGAGUGGAGUAGCCUUGUCUCAUUAUGCGACAAACGCAUACGAAAGAUACUGCUGAA